UGUUAGCAUGCCAAGCAAUAUGGUUAGAGGCAUUUCAUCCAUCUUCACAUUCUGCCUUUCUUCAUUUUGGAUUCAGUAAAAUAAGUACCAGUUCAGCCCUGGGGUUGAUAUAGUUGACUUACUCCAAACCCCAAAAUUGCUAACCUUGUGCCAAAAUUUGAAACCAAUAUGGUAUUCUACAGAAAUAUUCAUCACAAGGCAGCAUUUUACUAACUUUAACAUUAUAUCUUUUCUUUGAGACUCAACCUAAUAUUUAGAGUUAACAUUCCUUGGACUUCUGUUGUCUUUGUAUUUGAAUUUGUCAUUUGCUAUUGAUUUGCCUGUUAUUGCAUAGUCACAUGGUCCUUCCCCAUUCAUUCAACUAAUACUUUGGAGUAUUUAAUUCUUGGAUUAUCUUAACCCUUUUGAUACCAAACCCGGCUGAAAUCACCUCUGGUUCUGUGGUACAAAUGUCUUGUUUUCAUAAGUUUUGAAUUAAAAUAUU